CCCGAGGAACACCAGGUCGCCCGCGUGCGGGCGAAAGGCAGCGAGGACUUUUGGG
rnacentral:sRNA from 2 species